rnacentral:misc_RNA from 1 species
UACGGAGGGUGCGAGCGUUAAUCGGAAUUACUGGGCGUAAAGGGCGCGUAGGCGGCGUGUUCAGUCGGCUGUGAAAGCCCCGGGCUCAACCCGGGAAUGGCAUCCGAUACUGGCACGCUAGAGUGCAGUAGAGGGAGGUAGAAUUCCAGGUGUAGCGGUGAAAUGCGUAGAGAUCUGGAGGAAUACCAGUGGCGAAGGCGGCCUCCUGGACUGACACUGACGCUGAGGCGCGAAAGCGUGGGUAGCAAACAGG